rnacentral:rRNA from 2 species
AAAUUGAAGAGUUUGAUCAUGGCUCAGAUUGAACGCUGGCGGCAGGCCUAACACAUGCAAGUCGAACGGUAACAGGAAGCAGCUUGCUGCUUUGCUGACGAGUGGCGGACGGGUGAGUAAUGUCUGGGAAACUGCCUGAUGGAGGGGGAUAACUACUGGAAACGGUGGCUAAUACCGCAUAACGUCGCAAGACCAAAGAGGGGGACCUUCGGGCCUCUUGCCAUCAGAUGUGCCCAGAUGGGAUUAGCUUGUU